AGAGUUUGAUCAUGGCUCAGAUUGAACGCUGGCGGCAUGCCUUACACAUGCAAGUCGAACGGCAGCACGGGUGCUUGCACCUGGUGGCGAGUGGCGAACGGGUGAGUAAUACAUCGGAACGUGUCCUGGUAGUGGGGAUAGCCCGGCGAAAGCCGGAUUAAUACCGCAUACGAUCUACGGGAUGAAAGCGGGGGAUCUUC
rnacentral:rRNA from 1 species